rnacentral:tRNA from 1 species
GCGGGAAUAGCUCAAUCUGGUAGAGCGCCAGCCUUCCAAGCUGGGGGUUGCGGGUUCGAGUCCCGUUUCCCGCU